rnacentral:ncRNA from 1 species
CUAAAGCGGAUUACCGAUACCAAGCCAUAGAAAGAGAUUUAAGGGUUAUUUGGGUUCGUCCCUAUUAAUCUUUUUUUGAAUCUUUCUAUGAGUAGAAAAUCGUGGGGUUUGUGUAGAAGCAAGAUGCGUGAGCUCUUGUGGAACAUAUCCCUAGUGCAGAUCUUGGUGGAAGUAGCAAUUAUUCAAAUGAGAACUUUGAAGACUGAAGUGGAGAAGGGUUUCUUGCCAACUUUGAUUGUUCAAGAGUUAGCCGCUCCUAAGGGAAAGCUGAAAAGCAUUUAAAUAGGGAUUUGGUGUGGCAAGCAAUUGUUGUGUCUUUUCCCGGUCCCAAAAGGGAAACAGGUUAAUAUUCCUGUGCCUAGGUUAAUGUUAUAUAUGGAAGAUGGUAACAUAAUUUGGAAUGAACUUCUUAACGCAGGUUUUACGAUCGAAAUGCGUUAUCUUUGCAUUUUAACUUAUAGCUAACCUUGGAAUCAAUUUAAUUGGAGAAAAGGUUUGCUGAAUUGCAAUUCAUGAGGUUUUUAAGUGGCGGAAUAAUUUAUUAUUCCACAUUUAAAAAAUUAGUGUUUUGUAGUAAAAGUAAUUCAAUAUUAUGGAUUAUUCGAUAUGUAAGAACUGCCCGUGAAAAGGGAAGGGAACAGCUAUAUGUAGUGGGCAUGUUGUGAUGUUUUCAUGAGAGUUAUAUAUAAAGAAUAAAGUUAUUUGUUAAGCGAUAACUUUAUUCUUUAUAUAUAAUUUCUCUUGAAAGUGUCACAAUAAUGUUACAUUAUGAUAGCAUAGAUAACGAUGCCAUUUAGAGCGUACCCACAACCGCAUCAGGUCUCCUAGGUUAACAGCCUCUGGUUAAAUAGAAAAAAGUAAGUAAGGGAAGUCGGCAAAAUAGAUCCGUAACUUCGGG